GCGGUAAUACGGAGGAUGCGAGCGUUAUCCGGAUUUAUUGGGUUUAAAGGGUGCGUAGGCGGACUGUCAAGUCAGCGGUAAAAUUGCGGGGCUCAACCCCGGCCCGCCGUUGAAACUGACGGUCUUGAGUGGGCGAGAAGUAUGCGGAAUGCGUGGUGUAGCGGUGAAAUGCAUAGAUAUCACGCAGAACUCCGAUUGCGAAGGCAGCAUACCGGCGCCCAACUGACGCUGAGGCACGAAAGCGUGGGUAUCGAACAGGAUUAGAUACCCUGGUAGUCCACGCAGUAA
rnacentral:rRNA from 1 species